UCUUCAUUCUACGUGCUCUCUCGUCACUCUGACCGGUGAGAGAGUAUGAGGAAUGAAGAGA
rfam:Pristionchus pacificus strain PS312 contig9405, whole genome shotgun sequence.